AUACGAAAGGUGCAAGCGUUGUUCGGAUUUACUGGGCGUAAAGAGAGUGUAGGUUGUUUAUUAAGUCGGAUGUGAAAUCCCGGGGCUCAACCUCGGAACUGCAUUCGAUACUGAUAGGCUAGAGUUUGGGAGGGGUAAGCGGAAUUCCGUGUGUAGCAGUGGAAUGCGUAGAUAUACGGAGGAACACCUGAGGCGAAGGCGGCUUACUGGACCAAUACUGACACUGAGACUCGAAAGCGUGGGUAGCAAACAGGAUUAGAAACCCUAGUAGUCC
rnacentral:rRNA from 1 species